rnacentral:lncRNA from 1 species
UCAUUAUGAGUAUCAUCAUGUCUUCAAAAUUACCAUUUUAUUUUCUUUCUGUUUCAGUAAUAGUUGCUCUCUUGCUGGCAACUACUGAACCAGUGACCUCUCAGAAAACAACUUCCUUCGACUUUCAAAAAUUCACCUCAGGUCAAUCUGAUUUAAUCAUGCAAGGUAGUACUGAGAUUUUUUCAAAUGGGAUAAUGGCACUCACCAACCCUUCUAAGCCUAAUAUUGGACGGGUGUUGUAUUCAAAUCCAGUGCCUAUUUGGGAUAGUACUACUGGACAUGUUGCUAGCUUCGUCGCUUCCUUCUCCUUCACGGUUGAGGACAUUCAAGAUUAUAAUAAAGCCGAUGGAGUCAUCUUCUUUCUUGCACCACAAGAUACCGUCAUUCCUCCCAACUCUGGAGGUUCAAAUCUCGGAGUAGUUGAUGCGCAAAAUGCUUUCAAUCAAUUUGUUGGUGUAGAGUUUGACUCUUAUGCCAAUCAGUAUGAUCCCAAGUAUCCACAUAUUGGAAUUGAUGUUAACUCUGUAAUUUCCUCCAGGACAACACCAUGGAACAGGGUGAGUGGGUCAUUAGUCAAAGUAAGUAUAAUUUAUGACUCUCUAUCUAACACAUUGAGUGUUGCUGCCACUGACAACAAUGGUCAAAUUUCAACUGUUGCUCAUGCUGUUGAUUUGAAAGCUGUUCUCCCACAGAACGUUAGGGUUGGUUUAUCUGCAACAGUUACAUCUGGCGGCCGCCAAUUGCAAAACAUUCAUUCGUGGUCUUUCACUUCUACCUUGGCAUGAUUGGACUUCUACGUUAUGUAUGCAUGCAUGGAGAUUGUGAUAAUAACUAGUAUGGCUAGCUAAACAAAAGACCAUACUAGAUUGUGAUAAUAACUAGUAUGGCUAAACAAAAGUCCAUAUUAGAUUGUGAUAAUAACUAGUAUGGCUAAACAAAAGUCCAUAUUAGAUUGUGAUAAUAACUAGUAUGGCUAAACAAAAGUCCAUAUUAGAUUGUGAUAAUAACUAGUAUGGCUAAACAAAAGUCCAUACUAGAUUGUGAAUUUGUGAUGAUAACUAGUAUGUCUAAACUAGAUUGGAUUGUGAUAAUAACUAGUAUGGCUAAACAAAAGACCAUACUUGAAUCAUGUAUAUGUUUCGGUUUUUCUAUAAAUAAAGUCCAUGCUUAACCUAAUGUUACCUAAAUAACCAAGUCAUGAAUACCUAUCAAUUUCUCAAUAAUUAACUAAUAUAUACGUACCACUCCAAACACAAAUAUAAGAAAAACAAAUUCAAGUUUAGUGGUAUAAAAUAUUAAUAAAUUUUAGGUUAAAUAUGUUUUUAUCCUUAUAAAUAUUUCAACUUUUUGUUUUAAUUCUCUUAAAAUUUUCUUUCGGCUUUAAGCCAUGCAAAAGUUUUCUAUCCACUUUUCUGGCCCCUACUUUGAACACAUGUCAUCUGUAUCCUUUAAAUUUUUUAAUGGUUUUUUUUUUCUUUCAGAAAUGCUUAGAAUAUUAUAAGAAUCUCUCACAAAAAUAUUAUAAUUUUUUAACCAAACAUGAAUUAAAUCUGAAAUUUUAAGAGGUAAAAUCAUAUUUAAUUUAUGUUUUGUUAAAAAAUUCUAUUUUUUUGGGGGGAGAUUAUAAUAAUAUUAUAAUUAUUCUUGAAAAAACUCAUUCAAAUUUCAAAUGAUACACGUUGACCGAAAAGCAAGGACCAUAAGUGGUGAUGGAAAAAGAUCUUUCCGGGAACAGAGCUCAAGGAUGACGCAUUUAUGGUGCUUGUGCUACACUGGAAGGUACGGUGGAGGAAGAACUGUUGAGGAUGACUUCUACAACGGUACCUGCAAAACACACACACUCCGACGCUCAAGCCAGUAUUUGCUAGAGAGGGGGGGGGGGGGGGGGACAUCUAUACGGCCAAGGUCAUCCUGAGACCGUGUUCCCGUGUUGUGAUGAGCAUGGUGUAAGUGCCUUCGGAGGCGUUAUGCCUGUUUGCUGAACUUGAGUUAAUGGGCUAUUGUUGGGUCGUUGCUAGGUUAUUAUUGGACCGUUGAGAAUCUGAGAUCUAGUCCGAAACAGUUUCCCCCUAAUCUCUUAUCGUCUUUAUAACGUAAGGAGCUUGUUACAGGUUUGACAAUUAGUGGCUGACCUCUUUGCUCUAAAGACGCCUUUAUGCCAAUUUUGUGCAGUGAGGAUGGCUGUUGGGGAGCAUUUAAGUAUCAAUUGAAGAGUUCUAAAAAGGGGUUGACGCAACACUCAUUGCUAUCAGACUGUAACGACCUUUUUGUCAAAAAAAAAAUUAUGCGUGUCCCAUGAUUCCUUGGAUUGAGGCGUCGCGUUUGAUGAUGUUUGAGUAUGGUUCCAUUCUCGAGACGCGAUCUAGAACGUUGAACCAUGCUCUUUCAUCUUCUUGUGAAUCUUGAAUCGUUGAUUAAACUUUCUUUAUAAGGUUUUUGUUGAAAUAUAUCAUUAUUAUUAUUAUUUUUAUUAUCCUAUUUAUAGUUACUUAUUUAUCAUUAUAUAUCACUCAUAAAAUAAAGGAGUUGACUCUUGUAUUUUCUCCUAUUAAAUGGAUUCCCUUUUCUUCAUAAUAAUAUUGGGGACUCUUGUUAUUUUCUACAAGGCACGAGAGCCCCCAAUUUUGGGGUUCGUACUUCCGCAUAAAACCUAUUGGUGGUCCUUACGAUUUUGGGCGCCUUGUUUUCUAUAUUUUUUUUAUCCUCACAGUCAUUACGGUUUUAUAUUUUCUACAAGGAAUCAGAGCCCUCGAUUUUGAGAAGUGUUCACCUUGCCGACAAUGUUCAGGGGAGCAUUGUUCAAUUCAACGACACUGUUCAAGCAUCAAUACUGUUCACGCAUGCACACUUUUCACCACUGGAAAAAAAACUCCGAAUUGUAGCUUGCUAUUUUUUGAGUUACUCGGAUCAAAAAAUGAAGGGGAUGAACAGACCUAAGCCUGGAAGAGAGGAGGCAAGGCAAAGGGUGAUGAUGCAUAAGAAAAUGUUCAAUUCAUCAAUCGAUGGUCGUGGGAUCCAAGCUACUUAUGAUCAACAUCCACAAUCUUCCUUAAAUGCAUUACCAUUCACCAAGGAACAACUAGAUAAACUGUGCGUACUUAGCUUCUUAAGUCCCAAACACCUACCUCCUCCAUAGCCUGUACAAGUAACUUCUCAAAAUCAUCCCACCUUAGUUUAUUCAUAAUCACACAUGGAGUGUUGAUUCUGGAGCCACCAAUCACAUCAUCGGAGAAUCUAGUUUAUUUUUUUCAUAUACACCAUGUGUAGGAAAUUUCAAAAUUAAGGGUGUUGACGACUCUCUUUGAGUCGUGGUAGGAAAAUGUUAUAUUUGUUUAGUCUCCCCUAUUAACCAUCCAUGAUGUAUUACAUGUCCCAAAUUUAUUUAGCAACUUGUUAUAUGUUAGUAAGCUGACCAAAAAUAAAAAUUGUCAAGCUCAUUUCUUUGAUAAUCAAUGUGUAUUUCAGAAUUUGAUCUCAAGGUAGAUAAUUGGAAGUGCUAAGCAUAGUGGUAGACUCUACUACUUUGAAGAUGAACCAGAAACCAGACAUCAAUUUGGGCCAAUAUGUUUUUCUUUUGUUAAAUCUUUUGUUGUUUCAAAUAAUUAGGGUGACAUUAUUUUGUGGAAUUUAUGGUUAGGUCACCUUAGUUUUAAAUAUUUAUAGACAUUGUUUCCUAAACUUUUUAAGGUGAAAGACAUAUCUCUGUUUCAAUGCGAGGUUUGCGAAUUUUAUAAACUUCAUCAAAAUUCUUUUCCAAUUCAAGCUUAGAAACCCUCAAAACCUGUGUCAAUGAUUCAUAGCGAUGUUUGGGGGCCUAUUCAGACAAGUACUUCAACCAACAAAAAAUAGUUUAUCACCUUCACGGAUGAUAAUAGUAGACUUUGUUGGGUAUACUUGUUUAGAGAAAAAUCAAAGGCAGAUUAAUAAUUUUUUUAUUUUUAUAAUUUGGUGCAGACAUAAUUUAACACUCAAAUACAAGUGUUUAGAACUGAUAAUGAGACUGAAUUUUGCAACAAAGUCAUGUGAAUUUGUUUUCUUGAGAAUGAAAUUGUGUGUCAAAGUUCAUGUGUAAAGUCACCCUAACAAAACGAGAUUACAUAGAGGAAAAAUCGACACCUUAGUCUAUAUGAUGAUACGAAGAGUGCGCUAGAGGGGCACAAAUAGUGUUUUUCGAUUUUAAAAGAGUUUGAGAAAAUGUGAGUUAAAAUAUGAUUAUGAUUAUUGAAUUGUGCUUGAUUAUGAUGAUAUGAGUAAAGCAAUGAAAGGAAAUAUAGAUUCAAAUAUGAAUGAGAAGUUCUCACUAUUGAAUCAUAUUAUACAAUUCAACAAUCAAUACACACAUUCAAAUCAAUGAAAUUAAACUAUAUCAAACUAAACCUAUUAAUAAUAAAUAACACUAACAACUAAUGAACACAAGGUAUAUGAAGUAAUUGUUUGAAGUUAACUUUUAACUUUGAUUGUGAGAAAAUUGAAUCGGUGAAAUCUCAAUUAAGAAAAUUGAGAUUAGGUUUCAGUAAAUUGUAAAUUCACAAUCAAAUAAUGAUCACUUCAUACAAUGAAUUCAUAUACACAAAUAGAAUCCUAAAAUUAAAAGGAUAUGGAAGAGAAGAAUACAAAGAUUUAUAAAGGUUCUCCCUUUUCGUCCUCGCUAGGGGUUCGCCCUCUCUUCAUGAUAGAAAACACCUUUAUCAUGGUCUUCUACUAUGAUGAAAAAUGUUUACAAGUGUAUGAUUACAAAGAUUCCUUGGAUUUUCUAUGCUAAGAAAUCACAGAAGAUCCAAUCUUAAAGACCUCUUGAAAUUGGACACCCAUAAGGUUUUCAAAUCUUAAUCUUUCAUUCAAUCCUUUGAGAUCCACGCGUAUUAAAUUUUACAUGAUGAUAAUUAAGUGUAUCGAGACCGAACAUGUUAGAAAAAAAAAUUAAUCAAAAAUAAUAUUUUAGUUAUUUUAGACCAAUUUUAAUUUUUAAAUAAAUUUGGAUAAAUUUGUUUGAGAACAUCACCUUCCACUAUUGACAUGAACCUUCCCAUGAAGUGUUUCAGGUGCAAAAUUUCCAAACAAGAAGGAUUGGUCAUAGCCACAUGUCACUCCUUUAAGAUUAAAAGCUGAUUUUUAAUAAAGUAUGUUACUCCUUUAGGUUCUUUUUUCUACCACUAACCCAACUUUUUCUCUACCUCUAUGCUAUUAUGGGAUUAAAAUUGACUAACAACAAUUGAAACUUUACAAUCUUGGUGUAUCUCAACAUACACCAUUAAUCUUGGUAGUUUCAAUCUUGGUGUAUCUCAACAUACACCAUUAAUCUUGGUGUAUAACCUUUGGUGUAUCUCAAAAACUUAACAAAUGAUUUCAUAUUUUAGUAAAAAAAUUACAAAUGGUAUAUACGAUAUAAAUUUAGAAUCUAGUGGUCAAAUUUAAAAAAUAUGUAUCGAGUAAAACGGUAAGUAAUAUUGGUGUAACGUUACAUAAGUGUAGUUUAAGGUUCUCCAACAAGCUGAUCUUAGUUUUCUCUCUCUAAGUUUUCUCUUCCAUAUUCUUUAUUGAGGAGGAAGUUUUCUGUCAAUUUUUGACCUGAAAUCACCAAUCUUCAUCUUUUUCUCUCCAUUUCAAUCUAAAUAAGUGACUUUCACGUAGAUCUAAAUUUCUAAGUGUGGUGGUAUGUUGUUUGUCGUCUUGUGCGGCGUUGUUUGAUUUCCCGUCUUCUUGCGGUGUUUAUUUGAUUCAUAUUGAAAAAUCGAUUAUUCAAUCAAAGAUUUGGGCGUCAACGUUGUAGAUCUGGAGGAGGCAUGAGCAUUCUAGUCACUUUAAUUUUAUCAUAUAUUUUUGUAGGCAUUAUACUCUUAUAUGCUAUUAACUUGAAUACUGUGAGUUUAUUCGCAGAUUCAUCCUUAAAAUUUUUAGUGAUGUUAAAUGAUAUACUCUAUUGAUUUGAAUAAAUGAAUAUCAUUUUAUUUUUGUCAAAAAAAAUUACAUCAAUGUAGUUUGAUCUCUCAUUGUGUGUGUAUAUAUAUGGUAAUGCUAUAUGUACGAUUUGAAUAUUUUAUAUUAUUAUUAUAUAAUAAACUUGAUCAGUUGGGCAUUACAAUUGCAAUUUUCAAUAAGAAAGGCCAGGAAGCAUUGUCAUGAGUAAGAUGAUGAAGAAGAAAAAUCUGGUAAUUGGGCAGCAAUACCACUAAUUAAGUUGGUGCUGGUGACGUUGCUAAUUAAAAAUUUAGGUUGCACCACUACUUCAGUAUAUUCUCCAAAGGAAAAGGAAGAAAUAGUAAGCAAAUCAUUUGUAUAAAUAUGUGUCAUCAACAUGCAUGCUCAUUCACAACUCAUCAAUACAAUCAAAACUUCAUACUAUUAUGAGUAUCAUCAUGUCUUCAAAAUUACCAUCUUCUUUUCUUUCUGUUUCAGUAAUAGUUGCUCUCUUGCUGGCAACUACUGAACUAGUGACCUCUCAGAAAACAACUUCCUUCGACUUUCAAAAUUUCACUUCUGGUCAAUCUGAUUUAAUCAUGCAAGGUAGUACCGCGAUUUUACCAAAUGGGGUAAUGGCCCUAACCAACCUUUCUAAACAAAGUACUGGACGGGUGUUGUAUUCAAAUCCAGUGACUAUUUGGGAUAGUACUACUGGACAUGUCGCUAGCUUCGUUACUUCCUUUACCUUCACGGUUGAGGAUUAUCAAGGUUAUAAACAAGCCGAUGGACUCAUCUUCUUUCUUGCACCACAAGACACCGUAAUUCCUCACAACUCUGUGGGUUCAAAACUCGGAGUAGUUGAUGGGAAAAAUGCUUUCAAUCAAUUUGUUGGUGUCGAGUUUGAUAGUCAUGCCAAUAAGUUAGUGUUUGAUCCCAAUUAUGCACAUAUUGGAAUUGAUGUUAACUCAGUAAUAUCAUCCAGUACAACACCAUGGAACAGGGUGAGUGGGUCAUUGGUGAAAGUAAGUAUAAUCUAUGACUCUCCCUCUAACACAUUGAGUGUUGUUGCCACUAACAGCAAUGGUCAAAUUUCUACUCUUGCUGAUGUUGUUGAUUUGAAAGCUGUUCUCCCACCGAACGUUAGGGUUGGUUUUUCUGGAACAGUUACAGCUGUCGGCCGCCAAUUGCAACAGAUUCAUUCAUGGUCUUUCACUUCAACCUUGGCAUGAUUGGUCUCCUACGUACGUUAUGUAUGCAUGCAUGCAUGGAGAUUGUGAUAUAUAAUAACUAGUAUGGCUAAACAAAAGUCCAUAUUAGAUUGUGAUAAUAACUAGUAUGCCUAAACAAUAGACCAUACUAGAUUGUGAUAGUAACUUGUAUGGCUAAACUCCCUCAAGAAAAGAAAAAGAAAAAAAAACUAGUAUGGCUAAACUAGAUUGUGAUAAUAACUGGUAUGGCUAAACCAAAGACCAUACUUGAACCAUGUAUAUGUUUCAAUUUAUCUAUAAAUAAAUCCAUGCUUAAACUAAUGUUACCUAAAUAGCUAAGUCAUGAAUCUCUAUCAUGCCUCAAUAACUAAUACCCUUUCCGUCCUAAAAUAGAUGACCUAUUUGAAAAUGUGGACUAUUGACCUAACAUACUUUGACCGUAUUUUUUUAUUAAUAUACAAAGAUAAAUAAUAUGAUAUAUAAGAUGCACUACUAGAAAAAACAAAAUUAGUGAGGGAAAUCAAUGACGGAAAAAAUGAAAUUUCUCACAAAUUCCUUGGUCGCAAAAUUUAGUGACAGAAUUAGAGAGGGAUUUUACAUUUUCCCUCACUAAUUUUUUGUUUUUUUAGUAGUGAUGUCUAUGGAUUCGUCUCGAUGAAUAUUUUCAAAAUAUCAAAUUUUUAUAAUUUUUUUCUAAUAGAUUAGUAAAGUUAUUUAAGAUCAAAAUUGUGCAUUUGUAUGUAUGACAAGGUCAACUGUGUCAUUUAAUAUGAGACAGAGGGAGUAGUUACGUACCACUCCAAUCUCAAAUAUAAUUAAAGAAAAAUAUUAACUUGUGUCCUUAGAGCACAUGUUAAGAAUUCCACUAAUAUAAAUUAUAUAUUGGAAAUUGUGUUAAUUUAUUGUUCAAAAUGUUUAAUAUUAAAUAUUUUUAUUAAAUUUUUACCAUUAAUAUAAUGAAAUUAAUGUUUAACAUGUGUCAUAACUGCACGAGUUAACAUGACCCAGAAUUAAAAUAUGAAAAAUAUUAACGAGUGCUCCCAUGACACUCUUUAAAGCUUUUAAAUGGUAAUUUUUUUAUGAAAAUAUGUGUCAUCAAUGAAUUGAAAAUUGAAAUAUUUGACUUUUUUACAAAAAUAACUUCUUCUUUCGGAAUCCCCUGCCCCGUUAACCCCGCCGUCCCACCGUCGGUUGUUUCCCCAGCCUCACCACCAACCUACACCUCAACUUGCCCAAUUCUCACGCCUUUUUCUCCCUCCCCCUCGUCUGCCCAUUCCCGUCGCGACCACACCCUCACCAUUCCUCACACUUUUAACUCCCUCCCCUAGGACCCUCUCCGCCUCCUUCUUCCCUCGCACACCAUCAUCCUUACGCUUAACAGGCUUUAGAAACAACCAGAUGUUUUUUAAUCAAUAAUAGCAAAUCUAUCGUACCGUGUUUCUCUAGUCCAAACCUUAAGAUGACCGAACCAAACAUUGUUUAAAGCUUGAGAUAACUUACUUGCAUUCUUAACAUUGGAGAAACGAACGAAACCAUAUAUUUGUCCUCAUGCGUUCCUUUGUCUUGCGAUGAAAAUGUCUGUCAGAAUACCAAAAACUUCAAGCUGUUGUCUCAGAAGAAAAAUAGGAAGACAUUUCGGAAUGUUGGUGAAAUAAUAUGAAACCUUACCUCCCAUUCUUGAAGUAUCGAGGCCACGCUGAUCAGAAUCCACGAAAUCGGAAACCUUACCCUCUCUAUCAGUAUGCACACCAGAUGGAGUGUUGCGCAUUCUUGUGCUACAUGUAGGUUGAGUCGCGUCCGCUGUAACCUUAGAAGACCGAAGAAGAAUCGAAUUACCAUCCCUAGAUACAAAAAACUAAGGGAAAAUACGUUUAUGAAAAUACUUACAUACUUUAAAUACUUACAUACUAGCAUUAAAUUGUAUCAUAUACUUUUUUGUGGGGAGUGUAUUAUAUACUUAUAUAUUAUAUAUUAGUAAUAUGUCAUUUUUUAGAGGCCAUUUAUGCGUUUAUGAAAAUUUAGAAAGGGAUUUCUCAGAAAAAGAAAAUUUAGAAAGGGUAAAAUUUAGCAAAAUCAACUAUGUAAAAUAUAAUUUAGAAAAUUAGGAAUUUUAGAGAUUGAGUCAUCCGAUUCAAUCCAAUUUAAUAUCUACAUGAAUUCAAAAUAGAAACUGAGCUAUUUAACUGAGUUAUCCGAUCUAAUUCAGUUUUAUCAUGCGGUUUAAUCAAUGAUCAAGUGGUUCGACCAAUGACUCAAUGAUCAAGUACCCUUGCCGAAUCAACCACUGAUGCGGUUUUUAAAACUAUGGUUGGGUAAAUGCUCCACGCACACCAUAGUUGAGCAUGUUACGUUGCUCGAGAUUGUUUCCCAACUGUUGGAUCGUGACCUAAUUUCUUUCAAUCUAGGAUGUUGGUUUGAACUUCCAUAGACUAUAAAAGGAGGAAAACUCUUUCUGCACAUGUCACUCCUUUUUCCACCACGAACCCAACUCUUUCUCUACCUGUAAGAUUAAAAGCUGAUUUUUAAUAAAACAUGUCGUUCCCUUUAAAAAAAAAUGUCAUUCCUUUUUUCAAUAAAAUAAAAUAUGUUCUCACGCGCCUUAAUUAGGUUCUUUUUUUCACCACUAACCCAACUCUUUCUCUACCCCUAAGCUACUAUAGGAUUAGAAUUGACUAACAACAAUUGAAACUUCCAAUCUUGGUGUAAGUUUGGUGUAUCUCAACAUUUAGAAACUUGAUUUGCAUAUAUAUGUUAUAUUAUUAUAUUAGAAACUUUUGAUCAGUUGGGCAUUACAAUUGCCAUUUUCAAUAAGAAAGGCCAGAAAGGAUUGUCAUGAGUAAGAUGACGAAGAAGAAAACUCUGUCAAUUGGGUAGCCAUACCACUAAUUAAGUUGGUGCUGGUGACGUUGCUAAUUAAUAAUUUAGGUUGCACCACUACUUCAGUAUAUUCUCCAAACGAAAAGGAAGAAAUAGUGAGCAAAUAAUGUGUAUAAAUAUAUGUCAUCAACAUGCAUGCUCAUUCACAUACUAUCAAAACUACAUAAUAUUAUGAGUAUCAUCAUGUCUUCAAAAUUACCAUCUUCUUUUCUUUCUGUUUCAAUAAUAGUUGCUCUCAUGCUGGCAACUACUGAACCAGUGACCUCUCAGAAAACAACUUCCUUCGACUUUCAAAACUUCACUUCUGGUCAAUCUGAUUUAAUCAUGCAAGGUAGUACCGCGAUUUUACCAAAUGGGGUAAUGGCACUCACCAACCCAACUAACCCUAAUACUGGACGGGUGUUGUAU